AUGCGCGUCCCGCUGCACCGCUUCUUCCGCGAGGUGCUCGCCCACUUCGGCAUCGCGCCGGCCCAGCUCAAGCCCAACGGGUGGCGCAUCAUGAGCGGCUUCCUCGCGCUCUGCCACUCCGCCGGCGUGUCGCUGUCCCUCGCGGUGUUCCGGCAUUUCUUCCUGUUGUCCGUUGCCACCCACAAGCACAGAAAAGGCUGGUACUUUUCCGACACAGGGUGGGCUCCGGCUUGCGCUUCACGGGGAUGCCGAAUCCCAACUCCAUUGCUAUCAAGGACUGGAAACGCGAGUUCUUCUUCCUCUCUUCGCCGGAGCCGUGGCCUUGCUCCGUGGAGUGGGGCGAGCCGUCCAGGAGCGCACUCAUGA
rnacentral:rRNA from 1 species